rnacentral:snRNA from 1 species
AGCUGCGCGGUAAGCACAUAUCGAACUAUUCUUUCGCCUUUUACUAAAGAAUACCAUGUGUUUGCCGCUUUGCAAGCAGCAUACGCCUCUUUUUAGAGGGUUAUUUCCUCUUAAGGAAUU